rnacentral:rRNA from 1 species
GACGAACGCUGGCGGCGUGCUUAACACAUGCAAGUCGAACGGAAAGGCCCUGCUUUUGUGGGUUGCUCGAGUGGCGAACGGGUGAGUAACACGUGAGUAACCUGCCCUUGACUUUGUGAUAUCUUCAGGAAACUGGGGCUAAUACCGGAUAGGAGCUCCUGCUGCACGGUGGGGGUUGGAAAGUUUCGGCGGUGGGGGAUGGACUCGCGGCUUAUCAGCUUGUUGGUGGGGUAGUGGCUUACCAAGGUUUUGACGGGUAGCCCGCCUGGGAGGGUGACCGGCGACAUUGGGACUGAGAUAGGGCCCAGACUCCUACGGGAGGCAGCAGUGGGGAAUAUUGCACAAUGGGCGGAAGCCUGAUGCAGCAACGCCGCGUGCGUGAUGACGGCCUUCGGGUUGUAAACCGCUGUCGCAUGUGACGAAGCGUGAGUGACGGUAAUGGGUAAAGAAGCACCGGCUAACUACGUG